GAAGCCGCCGCCGCAAUGCAGCCUUCCUCUGUAUGUGUCAUACUCAUUGUCAUCUGGGUAACCAACCUAUUCCUGUUGGUGCAGAGGGAGGAGAAGCAGCUUGAAGCAUCAUUAGAUGCACUGCUGAGUCAAGUGGCUGAUCUGAAGAACUCACUGGGAAGUUUCAUUUACAAGUUGGAGAAUGAGUAUGACCGGCUGACCUGGCCCUCUGUCCUGGAUAGCUUUGCAUUGCUCUCUGGACAGUUGAACACUCUGAACAAGGUCUUGAAGCAUGAAAAGACGCCACUGUUCCGUAACCAGGUCAUCAUCCCUCUGGUCUUGUCCCCAGACCGAGAUGAAGAUCUCAUGCGGCAGACUGAAGGACGAGUACCUGUGUUCAGCCAUGAGGUGGUCCCUGACCAUCUGAGAACUAAACCUGACCCUGAGGUCGAAGAGCAGGAGAAGCAGCUGACAACAGAUGCUGCCCGCAUUGGUGCUGAUGCAGCUCAGAAGCAGAUCCAGAGCUUGAAUAAAAUGUGCUCAAACCUUCUGGAGAAAAUCAGCAAAGAGGAACGAGAGUCAGAGAGUGGAGGUCUCCGGCCGAACAAACAGACGUUUAACCCUGCAGACACCAAUGCCUUGGUGGCAGCUGUUGCUUUUGGGAAGGGUCUGUCUAAUUGGAGACCUUCAGGCAGCAGUGGUCCUGGCCAGCCAGGUCAGCCAGGAGCUGCGACAAUCCUUGCGGGAGCCUCAGGAUUACAGCAGGUGCAGAUGGCAGGAGCUCCAAGCCAGCAGCAGCCAAUGCUCAGUGGGGUGCAAAUGGCCCAAGCAGGUCAACCAGGGAAAAUGCCGAGUGGAAUAAAAACCAACAUCAAGUCGGCUUCAAUGCAUCCCUACCAGCGGAGCCGUGUGAGCUGAUCCCAGCACCAGGCAGAACGGAGGCUGAAUCUUUCCAAACGCCCACCCUGGGUCAACUCCUGAUCACUGUCCAGAGAAACUACUAAGGGAUGUACAUUUUCUUCCAUCAGUUCCAGAUUUGGGGGGAUAGUAUAUUGAAGUUUAGUAGUGAGCCAGGAGUAUGGCCAGAGGCUGUGGUCCCUUUUUGGUUCAGUCCUGAGGGUUCACUGUGCCAACCUACAGAGGCUUGAUGUGGCUCAGGCCUGACAGCCUCGAACACACAGGGGCUGACACUUGGGAAGGAAUUGCAGCCCUGCAGACGGGGCUCUCUAAUUGGGAGAGAAUGCAAACUCUCCAACCUGUCUGACAGGGCUGUCAUAGCACCCCUUCUCUUCAACGUGUGUUUUGUCCCACUGGACAAACUUCCUCUCUUCCCUUUAAUUUCUCUCUUUCUUUGUUCUUGAGCUCCUGUGUGUCACUGAGGCAGAUCUGGGAUCUCUAAUGUGGUCUCUUGCUGAGUUCACAUGCUCUCAAGAUGUCACCUACCAUUUGGACAUGGCAGCUUUCCCAAGUGCAUUAUGGACAAGGCACCUGACUUCCCUGGGCCUCAGUUGUUUAGACCACUUCCCUGAAAUUGUUUUCCAGCUUUCACUAGUUCUCUUGUGAAAACUCAUCAAAGAGGUGGACUGAACCAUAACAGCGAUGGAAAGCAGCUGGUCCCAGGCUUGCCGCAGGGAGUAUUGAAGAGUAAGCUACGUUUCCUCUUUUCCCCUUUUGGCCCUUCUCACGCAUCUUCCAGAUCUUGCUAAGAACUCUCUUUCCUCUAUCUUGACAACCUCCCCUAGUUUGUCCCCUACCCAAAGCCUCCGUUUUCUCUCUCCAGAGCUCUCCCUGCAGGUUCUCUCACUCCCUCUCUCCCCCUGCCUGAGUUUCUUUAGUUCAGUUCAGCAAACACUAAAUGAUAUCCUUAGUGUUGGCAUUGGCUACCCACUGCCAGAUCAGACUUUGUCCCUGACGUCGCAGGGGUCCAGGCAAACCCCCCAGUUCCGGGUGAUAUGGUAUGUGUUUGCAUGCAGUCUUUCCCUUCUGCCAGCUGGACAUCUUUGCUGCCCAAGUUUCUUCAUCCAAGGUCUCAGCCUUAGGCAGAGGACACUAGACACCUGGCUAAGGCCGAGGGACAUGCCAAAUAAUUAAUUGACAAACCCUUCACCCUCAUCUUUGCUCCCCUUGCCUCACAGACUCAGCCCUCCCCUCAACUCUUCUGUGUGAGUGCUGUGUAGAAAGUGCCCUUUAUCCUUUAUGGGAUGGGGAAGAGAGAAGCUUGACACAGCCCCCAGGAGGUUGCUUCCAUCCCUGCCUGCCACUCUGUCGUCCCUCAGCCUAGACCGUCACUUCUAUCAUCCUUAGCCCAUUCCCCCAUGUCUCCCGUACUCUGUUCCCUCCUCUGCUCUGCCUGCUUGCUCACUCACCCACUCACACACAUACAGGCAGGCAUACCUUUUCCCAUUUUUCCCUCAUUGCCAUUCCUGCUUUGAUCCCAUUUCCCAUUGAUUUUUGUGCUGAAACUUAAAAGCCUCAAAUAAUCAUGGCAAUAGA